GAUUUGUUUUUUGACCCAGAAUGUGGUCUAUCUUGAUGAAUGUUCCAGGCACACUUGAAAAGAAUGUGUAUCCGGCUGUUGGGUGAAAUUUUACAUGUGUCAAUUAGAUCACAUUUGUUGAUGGUGUUCUGUAUCUUUGCUGACUUCCAUCUAUUUGUCUUAUGAAUUACUGAGAGAAGAAUGUUGAAGGCUCCAAGUAUAAUUUUGGAUUUGUCUCUUUCUAUCACUUUCUGUUUUAUGGUUUUAAAAAUUCUGUUGUUGGGAGCAUACUCACUUAGGAUUGUUUUAUCUUCCUGAUGAACGGGCCCCUUUAUCAUUAAGUAAUGUUCCUCUUUAUCUCAGCUAUAUUGCUUGUUCUGAAGUCCAUUUUAUCUGAUAGUCACAUGACCUUCUUCUAAUUUUCCCCUUCGCAGGGGAUGGCAUCACCAUGCAAAGAGGUGUGUAGGGUAGAAGCUGAGUUGUCAUCCUUGACACCUCCCACCCUCCACCACCAUAUCAACCCAUAAUCAGAUCCUGUCGUUUUACCUCCUAAAUGACCCCUGAACCCUUCAGCCCCCCUCUAGCUCUACAGUCAUCACCCUAGUCCAAGUUAUCAAUAUAUUAUCUCUUGCUUGGCCUACUCUAUUGGUUUACUAACUGAUAUCCUUGAAUCCACUCCAGCCUAAUCUGCUCUCCACACUGAAAGCAGACAGGAUUAAAAGAACCACACACAAAUGAAGUCACGCCUCUAAAUCUAAUUAGAUCUUAUUAGAGCCUAUUAUUCUCAGAUCCAAAACCUUAAGGUGGUUGACAAGCCCUGCAUGGUCUGGCUCUCUCUCCCUCUCCAGUCACUUCCUGGAACUUUUCUCCCUCUUAAUAUGGCUACACUGGCCUUCUUUCUGUUUGUGGAGCAUGUCAUACUCUUACUUACUCAGGGCCUUUGCACAUUCAAUUUCCUAUAUCCAGAUCAUUCUCUUCCCCUUAGUGCAGGCUUUUCUAUUGACUUACUCAUCCUUCAUAUCUUGUUCAAGUAUUGCUUUCUCGGGGAAGUUUUCCUAACUCCUUCAAAUUUAGGUCAAGUUUCUUUGUAAUAUACUUUCCUAGGAUCAUGUUUCUUUCAUUACAUAAUGCAUAGCAGUUUAUAUUUACAUCUUUAUUAGUAUGAUUGUUAGGUUACUAUCUUUCUCUCAACUAGAUUAUAAGCUCCAGGAGCCAUGUCUAUUUUGGUCACCCUUGUGUUCUUAGUACCUGCACUUCUUAGGUGUUCAGUAAAUAUUUGUUGGAUAUAUGGGGAGCCAAUGGGUGGCAGAGAACAGGAAGAGCAGAAGAUGAAGUGGGAAAGGUUGGUGAGGGCCAGGCCAAGAAGGGCCUUGUAGGCCGUGAAGAGUUUGCACUUCCCUGGUUCUCAACUUUAUUUUGUACCAGAUACACUGGGGAACGUGUUAAGAAUGCACAUGUCCAAGUAGCACCCCCCAUCUGCAGAAUAAUACUCUUUGGGGUUGGAACCUGGGCCUCUGUUUGUAAUAAGUUCCCUAGGGCGGCACCAAAGGCUGAGGGCUACUGUUUCAGAAUCUGGGGAGACUGAUGCUGGAAGCAGGGAAGUGUCGUGAUCAGAAUUGCGUUUUGGCAAGACCAUUCUAGCUGGAUGUGUUGGAAAGAUAUGAAGGGACAAGAUCGGAGAUUCCUGCCAUCAACUAGGGAAGUGAUAAUGAAUGCCCAAACUAAGAGAGAAUCAGCGGAAAUGCAGGGAAGAGAAUAGAUUCAAGGGCAAUUUAGAAGUUAGAGUUGGCAGCUCUUGGUGUCUAAUUGAGCAUAAGAGGAAAGGAGAAGUAAGAAUAGCAACAACAAUAACUAAGUUAUUGAGCACCUAUGAUGCCGGGCACGAUUCUACAUGCUUUCCACGUAUCAUGUUUUUAGUCUCAUAACAGCCAUGUGAGGCAGGUCAUAGUACCAUCCCCGGGAUGUCAGGUGACUCCCAGGUUUCUUGCUUUGGAGGCAGUGAUGCUGUCUGUCAGACAGGGAUUCCGAGAGGAAGUGAGGCCAGGAGGGUGGUGGUAGAUAGUGACUUCGGUGUGUCACCUACUGAUGUUGAGACUUGGGUGAGAUACCUAGGUAGCGAUUGGAAACACGGGUCUGAAGCUCUCCUGAGCAUCUGCAGAUGUUGGUCCAGGAGCCAUCAUCCCUGGGAGUGGAUGGGAUUGGUCAGAAGAGGUUGAGGCACAAUCCUGGGGGUCCUAACAUUCAAGGCUCUUAAUCUGACCUCCGCGGAUGGGUUUCCCGAGUACUUGAGGCCUUUGAGCUCUAGGCAGAUGCCGGCAAUCUUUGAUUGUGCCUUAGAGUCUGAAAGGGGUGCAUGGUGCCCCAAAAAGAUUAAGGAUUCCAUAUACAAGCGGUGGGUAGAUAAAGAGGAUACAGGAAUGAAGACUGGAAAGGAGUGGCCAGAGAGAUAGUAAGAAAUUCAGAAGGAGAUGUCAGGAGGCCAAGGAAAUAGUCUAUUAAGAAAGAGGGAGUGGUCAGUGUUGUCGAGUCCAAUAUUGCAGGGCAGUCAGACAAGAGAAAGCUUGAAAAGAGUCUACCAGAUUUGGCUACUAGUUGAUGACGAGGGGUUUUAAUCAUCUCCGUGGAUAGGGACAGGUAGGAUGAGGUGAGAAUUGAGAACGAAUACGGCCUCUUCUGUUGGGAAGAGGAGAGAGAGGGGUCAAGGGUCAAGGAUGAUCUCCCUCCCCCCACCUUUCCCUUUUUCCCUCCUUCUUUUCUUUUUUUUUAAGGAGGAAGCGACUUGCACAUGGAUACGGAUGGAGGGGAAAAAUCUCUCCUAGGAUGGGGGUGGGGGAAGCAGGACCAGAAAGAGAAGCCAUUUGCUGGAGCAAGGUUCUGAGGGGGUGGAGUGCAGCGCGCAGGGGGAAGGCCUGGCUCUGAGCACAGGGAGUGCCACCUCCUUCUCCAAGCUAAGGAUGGGCAUGGGUAUAGAUAACAGGUGAGGGAGGCAUUGUAAGGAUGGUGGUGGCAGCUGUGGGGGCCCCUUUGGGCGCUGAGAGUCUAUAAUUCUGGUGACUGUCAGGUGGGGAGACACCGUCUUCUGCUCUGAAGCUGUCCCUGUCUUUUCCUUAGCCUGGAACACCCUCCUUCUUGUAUUCUUGUAUUCUUGUCCUCCUCCAGGAAGCUUUCCUUAACUGACACCUGCACUCCGCCCCUUUCUAGCAGUUGGCUCAGUUCCCCAUUUCUUCUUCACCCCUUGGCACACAGGCCAAGAGCUCCCCCUGGUUCAUUCUCUGUCUGUCUCUGGCCUCUGGAUAGAAAGUUCACAGAGUGGGUAGGGAGGGGACGUGAACGCAUGUAUCUGUAAAAUGGGUGGUUUUUCCAUUAGGACUCCCCCUCCCCGGCUCUCAAGACAGGCUCUGCCACAAGAGGGUGCUCAGCCAGAGAGGGCCUGGCUGGCAUGGUCUAGGCAGCCGGCCCAGCUGGCAGGACGCCAGCGAGGACCUUUGCUCCCUGUCCUGAUGGCCCUGGCCUCCGUUGCCAUGGCUGCCCCAUAGUUUGGGAUAAACAGAACUUGUCCCUCUCCUGUUCAGCUUCCUGACACCUAAGCGUGUCCUCAGAGAGGCGCUGGAAUUUCAAGUGUUCAGGUGCUCUCCUCCGACCCCUGGAGGCACAAGGCUGGUGUGUCACUGAAGUUAGGCCCCAUUCCCCUCCCUCACUGUUCUCCUGCUGGCCCUGCUGCUCCCUCCUCUCCCACCUAUGUCCUCCUGGAACUGGGGAGGGAUGGAGAAAGGGCUGGGACUCACUUGGUCUGUCACACUGGAUGGUGGGAUGUAGGGAGGAGCCUUUCUGUCCUGGAUUACCUCCUUCGGACUAUUUCCGGUCUGUGGUGACCCUCCUGAGGCCCAGGUCCAAUCUUUGGUAUUAAUGAGAAGAAUCGCAGCUUUUGUCUUCUCUUACCUUCUGUAUCCUUGGGGCCAAGGGUGAGGGAGAGAAGAUGGGAAAAAUAAAAGUGAGGGAGAGGAGAUAUGGAUCAAAGUGGAGAAGGGGACUCAUCUGGAUAGAAUUGAAUCAUAGAAUCAUUCAUUCAUUCAUUCAUUCGUUCCUUGAAUCAAACAAGUUCCUGCGCUGGGAGCCGAGGGAAAGAGAAACACCUGUAGGGCAUGGCCCCGCUUUUGAGGGAGGGGCCUGGGUGCUGGUGUGAGGGCCCUGGACUGAGAAUUCGGGGGCCCUUGUUUGAGCCCCGACUACCACUUGCUGGACAAGUUACUCCUCUGAGCUUUGGGAUCCUCGUCUGUAAGUGAAGAUGGUGAUCGUGAAUCCUCAAAAUCAUUGUGAGGAUCGGAUGAGAUGGAUGUGGAAGACUGCCUCAUUAGCCGAUGUUCAAAGCAUGUUAGACGCCCAUGGCUCAGGUUUACAAUCAGGGAGGGGUGCUCAGGCCAGUGUAACCCAGCCCAGGGGUGUGACAAUGGCCGUUCUCGGGGUCUCUGUGGGAGCGGCCACUUCUGGCCAUGCUGACUGGGGCAGGCUGUGUGGGUAGGUGCCUGGUGCAAGAUUUUCAUUCAGUAAAUGUUUGCAGAAUGAAUGGGGUGUGCUGGAGCCAGGGCCUUCGGGAGAGUUGGGUUUCAGCAGGUGCAGGUGACUGGGAGGUGCCAAGGGAGGGAAGGGCACAUCCCUGGGGCUGGGGCGGGAGAGAGCUAGUGCCAGGUGGGGAAGGCUCAGCUCACUUGCCAGAUGAGGGGUUUGACCUUUAUUCUGAAGGCAACGGGAAGCUCCGAGCUGGGGGAGUGACAGGAUCAAAAUGGUGUUUGUCAAUCAGUCUGGCUGGGCACCAGCAGAGGACGUUCUGGAGCAAAGCCUGGAGCAAAGCAAGUAGGGGAGGUGGAGGGAGACAGGGACAGAGGGGCAGAGGGAGAGUGUGUACGUGUCCAGGAGCUUCAGGGCAAGUGAUGGUGAUGUCACCUCCCCCUCCACUCUGCCGAGGGGCUGUUCACACCAGCGCGUUGUCGUCAGGGCAGUCUCACCCGCCUGCAAGGAGGAGGAGGGAACGGCACAGGGAAGUGGAGAACUUCUCAGGGACACCGAAGACAAGGGAACACUGCCUCCUUUCUCCUCCUCGCUCCACAAGAACCGGGGCCCAGCUCAGGGCAAUAAGGUGGGAGAGGGGAGGAAGACAGGACUGGAACUGUGACCCAGGUUCCUGGGCUUUCUGGGUCCUGCUCCUGGCCUCUAAGAGAGAGGGUGAGCUAACUGUGGUUUUCAAAUCUAGACAAGCAGUUAAUUGUGGCAGAAAGAGCAAGAAGCCAUUAGGCCCCAGAAAGACCUGUGCGUGAACCCUAGAGCACAGUACCACAUGGCUAACUGGGAUGACAGUGUUGUGCAGCCCGGGACCUAACUUUCCUGGAGGGAACUUGCUGGCCUGGGGCUGGCUGGCUGGUAGGAAUGUGAGACCCUUAGCCCUUGUUGGGGCCAGUCGUCCUGAUCAUCUCUUCUUCCCCUUUGUUCCCGUCUCAUUUUCGAUGGACCACACACCCUGGAGUGACUCAGAUUACUUUGGAGGCGGUGGUCGGAAUUUGCAGAAGUGAAAGACCUGAGGGUGUGUCAGCUCACAGGGUGAGUGCCAAGGCCGGAGCCGGGAGUUCAGCUCCCGAGCCAGCCAGUGCUCAGUUGGCCCGGAAUUCCUGAGUGUCUGCAGUCAGCAGGGCAGCCUCUGCAGGCUCCUGGAAGGCAUCUUCCUUUAUCAGAGGUGCUGGCGGGUCAGUAUCAAAGCUUUCUUGCUGGCCUGGAGAAUCUGCAUUCUGGCACCCCUCAGCCUGUCUUUGGCUAGACCCAGAGGACCAGGAAAACUACCUUUCGUUUGGCAUUGGAAGAGUUGGGUUGAAUUCUGAUCCAGGCACUUGUGUGCUCUGUGACCUUAGGAAAUGUAUUCAAAGUUCCUGAGCUUCCGUAUCCUAAUCUGCGGCCAUUUGUACUUUCCUGGUAGGUUUAGUGGUGAGGAUUAAAUAGGGUUGUAAAAAGUCUAUGGUGCAGGGAGUGCCUGGCACAGGGUACUAUCUUGGAGGGAUGGGGAGAGCGGGAGGUGUGGGGCAGCGAGGCUCGCCUUCGGAGGCAGACAGGGUCUGGUUCUGUCUCUCCCAUUUUCUACUGCUUGAGUGCCAGCUAUGCUUAACCUGGAGGCUGUUGCUUCAGCUCUAAGAUGGAGAUGCUGCUUGCUUCAUAGUUUCUGUAAGGAUUAAAAGUUGUCGUUACCGCCUUAAGGGAACUCCUAGGCCAUUGCGGGUACCUGGACCCAUGCCCAACUCUGGGAGACCAAGUCAGAGCUGGGGAUGCUCAAUCAGACUCCAUGCUGGAGGGCUUGGGGGAGAAGCCUGGGAAGGAAAGUCUGGGAGGGCUUCCUGAAGGAGGUGUUUGAAGUGGAGCCAGGCUGGAGGGACAGAGAGAGCAGGAGGGCCCCUGGUCUGGUGAACUGCAUAGCAGAGAGAGAGUUUAUGUAGGAGCUGGCUGCCAAGUGGAACAGGGUCAGACCAUGAAUGAGGUGGGGCGGCUGGGGGUGGAGGGUUAGUGUGGCUGGAUGUGGGAGCCAUGGGGUCCGGGGUUCUGGGAGGAGGCCCAAGGAGUUUGACUUCUGUAGGUGGACACUUCUGAGCCAGAAGCACUGGUCUGGGAGGGGAAUGGCCCUCUCCCUGGGUGGAACUUUCUCUCCUCUGCCUCCCAUGUUCUGAGGCUGCUUCUGCUGUUUGAGCUUCUCUUAGUUUCCCCGAGAUGAUUACCCGGGAGACCUGGGGAGACAAGGAAGGAGGCAGCGAGGCCUUGGGGAAUAGACGCGCUCAGCCUGGAAUUCUGUUGGGAGCACAGAAAACACACACUGAACUGUGUUGCCAUGGAAGCUUACCUAACGCUUCCCUGGGGCUAAACUGGCCUUGGCUGGCCCAGGCCCAGCCCAUUUUCACCUUCCAGAUUGCUAAACAAAAUUAGAAAAAUGUUUUUGGAUCUUCUCUUCUGGGGCAUCCACAUGACCGCUCCCCUUGAUGGGGAUAACUGCACACUGACUCUGUGAAAGAGCAUCGCUGGAGGAAGAGCUCGCGCAGGCUUUGGACUGACCCCAGACUGAGGUCAAGUCUUGAAGGACUUUUAGUUCCUUAUCUGUAAAAAGGGGGUAAUAUUACCUUCCUCAUGGGCUAUUUUAGGGUGACGAAUAAUACACGUAAGAGAUCUGACACUUUGAUGCUUAGUGGGAACCAACAAAUGAGAGCUGCCAUCAUCAUCACCAUCUUUUCCACCACCACCACCGCCACCGCCAUCAUGGUCACAGCAGGCCUGGGUUGAGAGUUGGGGAAGGGGAGGGGCGUCAACAGGCAGGGCUCGGUUUGCAUGGCUAGCUCCCCAGGAAUUGGAUAUGCAAGCUUCUGUUUUGCAUGGUGGCAGAUUUUUGCAUUUUUCCCUUUAUCACUAUUCCACCUCCCUCUAGUUACCCUCAACCCCCCUGAGCCAGCUCUCUCUCCAGCCUAAGCACCAAUCAUGGGCUGGGCAGGCCCUGCAGAGGACGCAAAGAUGCAUGAGACACUGCUCCCUCAUGCAAGGGGAACACCAGGGCUUAAAUUCUCCCACGACAAAUGUGUCAAAGCCGUGCGAACAAGAACACGAGUCCCACGGGGGCUGGUCUUGACGUCGAUGAAAGGGUAGGGCAAGCUGCACAGAGGAAGGCUUUAGGAAAGGCAGAGGACAAGCAGGGAGGGGUGGUGACAGUCAAGCUAACAUUGAUGGAAGGCCUCCGACUGCCGGGCACUGUUCCCUGAUCUAGUGUUCAUAUCGGGCCUCUUGGGUAGUUAUUAUCUGCAUUUUUGGCAGAGGGAAAGGAACCUCAGAGAAAUUAAGUAAUUUGCCCAACUUCGCAAUGUUAGGAAGUCACUCCAGAAUUCUUUUGCUUGCCUUCACUAUCCUUCAGCUUUUGGUCACACGUGGCUGCGGAGCAGAACGUGCGUAAAUACGCUCAGUCCCACCAGCAGACGGGGUUCCCAUUCCAGUUCUUCCCUUCACAGCUGUGUGCACUUGGGCACUUUCCCAUUCCUGCCUGGCAGGGUCUUUAUGAGUUUAAAUGAGGUGAAGUGUGCAUUGCACACAGUAGGGCCACAGGACGUGUUUCUGAGGCUCUGACAAUCCAUCUGAUGCUCGAGUCCCCUUGACCUUUGCCUUGAACCCUUCCUUACUCACCGGAAGCCGAGACUUCCUAGAUGAUGCUACAGAUUUCACUUGCCCGGAGCUUGAAGUUUUGGGAAGCCCUUGCUUACGGGUGAGCAGAAUCUCUGGGGGCUCCUUCCUGCGGGUUCCAGUUGCAUUCCUUGGACCACACAGAUGAAUGUCCCUUCUUCCUCCUGGCAGGCGGUGUCUCUUCUCCAGGCCUUGCACUCCCAGCUCCUGCAGCUAUGUCUCUGUGGAACAUGGUUCCCAUUCCCCUCCUUAACCUAGACACCUCCUUGCAUCACCUCUUACUUGUUCAGUUCCCUCCUAAGAGUCAGACAAGAGCCAAACACUGUUCUCCAGGCGUGGUGUGAUCUGUGGGGAGAAAAUGGGCUCUUCCACACUGUCAUCUGCUGCUGAGGACCACGGAGGGCUUCAUGGCGGCCUCCUCAAGCUGUUGCUGGAGCGAAGGCGUGCACACUUGCACACAAAUGUGAUGAACAAUGGUAAGAAGGCAAGCGUCAACUGUGUGUCCCGGGGAGGGGCUGCUCAUUCCCUCUGCAGCAUCUACUCUGGGCAGGCACCCUGCCAGGUGCAGACUGGCACAGAGAUGGGAACCAGACAGACACCAGAGGACCCUACCCUGUCCGCCAGAAGCUGUGGUCUCACACUCGUGGGAUGAACGUGAUGGCAAGGUAGGUCCAGCGGCUCAUAGUAAGUAUGUGCACCAGUCCGGCUGGAGCAGAUGCUAGGGCUCAGCGGGAGCUCCUGGAAGCACACCUUUGUCACCUUCUUACUUCCCUUCAUCUUGGACUCAGCCAUGCAAUCAACAACUACAUCCUGUUGGUUAUUUCUUCUCACAGUAUGUGGCCUCCACCCUGACUUCCCACCCCACUGCUCCUGCCACACCGCAGGCCUCGUCCCUUGCGUCCUGCAAUAGCCCCCUUCCUAGUCUCCUGCCUCCAGUUUGUGCCCCUACCCCCUAACCUACAUAUCUCAGCCCGCUUAGUCUGCCUACAGGACUUCUUUAGCCAUGUCACCCUUCUGUCCCCACACCUUCCUUGGCCCUUGUGACCUACAGGAUAAACUCUGUCUGGCUUUGAAACCCUCGAUCCCACCCAACUCCUCACCACCCACCUUUUCUGCUCUGUUCUACGGGAAUCCUGUUCCCGACCAACGACUCAUCGCAUUUCCAGAUCUUUCCAUUCUUUUCUAAGCUCAAUUCAAUCAAGCCUAAAACCAUUUUAAAUAGCUCUUCGCUUCCUCUGAAGUCCUAUAGCGUAUGUCUUAAUCACUCAUUUAUGUGAAAGCAAAAUUUUGUUGCUAAGGCACACAAGGUAGACUUUGGCCAGGCAGUAUUUUUAUUUAUACAAGGGCUCAGCGUGUAUACAGAUAUCUUUAUACCCCUGCAACCCUCUCCAUUUCCUUUGUGUACAUUCGGGUUAGUGGAGGUAAUGAACAGCUGUUGUUUUCACCUGUCCAACAUCUCUUCCUCAUCUUUUGCCCCAUCACCUUUCUGCCCCUCUUUUAUAUAGUUUGGGUGGGGCUGGCCAUCCCUCUCCACGGCCCGGGCACAUGAUCCGGUCUGGUCAAGAUUACAGUAUUCUAGUCCCUUGCCCACAGUGAUUGGUUCUGGGGUGAGCAAGGGCCCUAAGUCAGCCCAAUGAGAGUCAGCCUUGGAAUUUAGCUGGAAGCACUGGGAAAGAGGCACUCCAUGGUCAUCGUCCUUGCUGCCAAGAAGGAAGCUAACACAGAGGAAAACAGUCAAGAGAAGAAGAGAAGGAUGGCCCUGCUGUGAUCGCCAAGCCUCCCAUCCAUCUACGCUGAAAGCCAAGUUCACCCCUGCACUUCCCAAUUGUGGGAGCAAAUAAAUCAUCUUGUGCUUAA